CUGCCAGCACCUAAAGGUUCCAUGACUUUUGCUUCCAACCGAGGGAAAGGAAAAGCAAAAAUAGAGAAGGCACAUCUGCUUCUUAAUCAACUUGGCUUGGGAGUGGAACACCCCUAUUCAUAUUCCAUUUACAGGAGCUAAUCUCAUGGUGGGAACUGCAGUGGCUGAGCAGCAGCAUCUUAGCAGAUACUGUGCUUUAUGAAAGCCACAAAACCCACUGCCUACCACCAACUGGAAAACACAUUGACCAGGCCUAGUCAUUCAGAGUGGACUGGACCAUUCUUCCAACAGCAGCAAUAGUCUCAUGAACCAAUCGGAGUCAAUUAGGGUUCUCCAUGGGGUUUAACACCUUGAAGGAUGUAAACAGAGGGCUGCCAGCAGUCAUAAUGCCUUUCAUAAGAACAAGAAGGCCUCGUUCGUUAGAAAGGAAGCCUCAGAGACCAUAGGAAAAGACCUAGCUCAAUGUUACUUUAUUUUAUUUUCUCAUCUUCAUCUAUCACACAUUGACCUAGCCCAAUAUUACCUUAUUUUAUUUUCUCAUCUUCAUCUAUCACACUCAUUCUUACUUAUAAUUUCCCCUGUCAGAUUCCUAAAGAAUGGGCAGCAAGAAGAGAAAGGAGCUAAUUAACAAUGAGGAAAGUGUAUGAACAAUGGAGCAAGCAUGUGACAGAAGACAUUGGCAUGGCUGGGUGACAGGGAGGACCAAGGGAGGGAAGGCAAAAUUGCUCAAAAAAAUGUAGCUAAAUUAGGAAAUGUCUUUAAAGCUGGACUUUAAGAUUUUUGGCAAAAGUAGUAAUGUGGACUCCUAAAACAAACAAGAAUCAUAAAACUUUUGAGUUAAAAUGUCACAUAGAGAUCAUUUUAUCACCCAAAUGUCG
rnacentral:lncRNA from 1 species